UACAGAGGUCUCAAGCGUUGUUCGGAUUCAUUGGGCGUAAAGGGUGCGUAGGCGGCGCGGUAAGUCGGGUGUGAAAUCUCGGAGCUUAACUCCGAAACUGCCUUCGAUACUGCCGUGCUUGAGGACUGGAGAGGAGACUGGAAUUUACGGUGUAGCGGUGAAAUGCGUAGAUAUCGUAAGGAAGACCAGUGGCGAAGGCGGGUCUCUGGACAGUUCCUGACGCUGAGGCACGAAGGUCAGGGGAGCAAACGGG
rnacentral:rRNA from 1 species